GAGAGUUUGAUCCUGGCUCAGAACGAACGCUGGCGGCAGGCCUAACACAUGCAAGUCGAGCGCACCUUCGGGUGAGCGGCGGACGGGUUAGUAACGCGUGGGAACGUGCCCAGAUCUGCGGAAUAGCCACUGGAAACGGUGAGUAAUACCGCAUACGCCCUUCGGGGGAAAGAUUUAUCGGAUUUGGAUCGGCCCGCGUUAGAUUAGAUAGUUGGUGGGGUAACGGCCUACCAAGUCUACGAUCUAUAGCUGGUUUUAGAGGAUGAUCAGCCACACUGGAACUGAGACACGGUCCAGACUCCUACGGGAGGCAGCAGUGGGGAAUAUUGCACAAUGGGGGAAACCCUGAUGCAGCCAUGCCGCGUGUGUGAAGAAGGCCUUCGGGUUGUAAAGCACUUUCAGUAGGGAGGAAGGUUUAGUAGUUAAUACCUGCUAGAUUUGACGUUACCUACAGAAGAAGCACCGGCUAACUCCGUGCCAGCAGCCGCGGUAAUACGGAGGGUGCGAGCGUUAAUCGGAAU
rnacentral:rRNA from 1 species